rnacentral:rRNA from 1 species
GUGCCAGCCGCUGCGGUAAUACGUAGGUGGCAAGCGUUAUCCGGAAUUAUUGGGCGUAAAGCGCGCGCAGGUGGUUUCUUAAGUCUGAUGUGAAAGCCCACGGCUCAACCGUGGAGGGUCAUUGGAAACUGGGAGACUUGAGUGCAGAAGAGGAAAGUGGAAUUCCAUGUGUAGCGGUGAAAUGCGUAGAGAUAUGGAGGAACACCAGUGGCGAAGGCGACUUUCUGGUCUGUAACUGACACUGAGGCGCGAAAGCGUGGGAGCAAACAGGAUUAGAUACCCUGGUAGUCCACGCCGUAAACGAUGAGUGCUAAGUGUUAGAGGUUUCCGCCUUUAGUGCUGAAGUUACGCAUUAAGCACUCCGCCUGGGGAUACGGCCGCAAGGCUG